AUUGAACGCUGGCGGCAGGCCUAACACAUGCAAGUCGAGCGGAUCGGCGGAGGGGGGUGGAAUGCCUAGGAAUCUGCCUGGCAGUGGGGGAUAACGUCCGGUACCGGGCGCUAAUACUGCAUACUCUCAGAUGAGCCUAGGGCGGAUUAGCUAGUUGGUGGGGUAAAGGCCUACCAAGGCGACGAUCCGUAACUGGUAUGAGAGGAUGAUCAGUAACACUGGAACUGAGACACGGUCCAGACUCCUACGGGAGGCAGCAGGGGGGAAUAUUGGACAAUGGGCGAAAGCCUGAUCCAGCCAUGCCGCGUGUGUGAAGAAGGUCAGCGGAUUGUAAAGCCCUUUGAGUUGGGAGGCAUUACCUACAGAAUAAGCACCGGCUAACUUCGUGCCAGCAGCCGCGGUAAUAC
rnacentral:rRNA from 1 species